rnacentral:rRNA from 1 species
UGGGGAAUAUUGCACAAUGGGCGCAAGCCUGAUGCAGCCAUGCCGCGUGUAUGAAGAAGGCCUUCGGGUUGUAUAGUACUUUCAGCGGGGAGGAAGGCGAUAAGGUUAAUAACCUUGUCGAUUGACGUUACCCGCAGAAGAAGCACCGGCUAACUCCGUGCCAGCAGCCGCGGUAAUACGGAGGGUGCAAGCGUUAAUCGGAAUUACUGGGCGUAAAGCGCACGCAGGCGAUCUGUCAAGUCGGAUGUGAAAUCCGCGGGCUCAACCUGGGAACUGCAUUCGAAACUGGCAGUCUAGAGUCUUGUAGAGGGGUAGAAUUCCAGGUGUAGCGGUGAAAUGCGUAGAGAUCUGGAGGAAUACCGGUGGCGAAGGCGGCCCCCUGGACAAAGACUGACGCUCAGGUGCGAAAGCGUGGGGAGCAAACA